rnacentral:rRNA from 1 species
CACAUAGGGCGCAAGCGUUAUCCGGAUUCACUGGGUUUAAAGGGUGCGUAGGUGGGCAGGUAAGUCAGUGGUGAAAUCUUUGGGCUUAACCCGAAAACUGCCGUUGAUACUAUCUGUCUUGAAUGUAGUGGAGGUGAGCGGAAUAUGUCAUGUAGCGGUGAAAUGCUUAGAUAUGACAUAGAACAUCUAUUGCGAAGGCAGCUCGCUACACUAUGAUUGACACUGAGGCACGAAAGCGUGGGGAUCAAACAGG